UUUUUUUUUUUUUUCUACCUCAGCUGGUAGCCUGGAGCGGCUAUUCCAGCGUAACCGUAACUAGUAGGUGAGCUCACGGGGCUCAAACCUGACGACGAUGCUAACACGAACCCUAGCAAGAGUCGUGCUUCGCAGAAUCUACCACCGGAUCGGAAACGCGACCCACUGAGAAGAUCCGGCGAGAAACUCAGUGGGCUGUGUCUGAGAGUUAAUUUACUCGUCGAGCCCUUCGUCGCAAGCGACGGGUUCGACGAGAACGGUGACCGGUGCUUGAAGUACCUAGAAGCACCGUCAGUGGAUCGGGAGGAUCCGAGAUGACGUGUUUUGGGCGACGUCGACUGCUUUCCAUUCUGUCCGCAGGAUCGGGAAUGAUAGAGGUCAUAACGAAUUUGUGGCCUAUGAAAAGACUGCAGACUACCGCCGUGAUGAUCAGAAUCUUCCUACGUGACCUAUUAACAAAUUUACGACUAAACUCUUUAAUAGCGCAAAUAUUGAAUUACACAAAACUCGUUAACAUUUGUAAACUAUAUGACUAUAAACAAUGGUGGUUUUAUUGUUUUGCUUGCCUUGACUGUACUUUAUGUGGCCAUUACAAAAGCUUUUCUAACCGAGCUGACGUAAUCAGUAUCAAUUUCUAUUGAAGUACCACACAAUUAAAUUAUUUCACAUUAAACACGCAUAAAAUUCAAAAGUAUUUAGGGAUAUAAUUAUGUGUGGUCAUUACAAAAGCUUUUCUAACCGAGCUGACGUAAUCAGUAUCAAUUUCUAUUGAAGUACCACACAAUUAAAUUAUUUCACAUUAAACACGCAUAAAAUUCAAAAGUAUUUAGGAAUAUAAUUAGGAUCAUAAACAACGUGCGCAUAGAAGUAAUCGGUGAUAAAGUCGUCCAUUGUUUCACUUAGAUUCUCUAAAUAAUCAUUUUCCUUUGUUUAUUAAAUCGUAUAUUUUACAUAGUGUAAAUAAAUUAUUUUUUAUUUGAAUACGCAUGCGUGCGUGAUGCACGUUUAUUUUUAAUUUAUGAUUAUUUUAUGAUUUUAUUUAUGAUUCAUUAACAAUUAACUGUUUUGUUUCAGGUAAAAAAUCUUCUACAAUACGAAAUGUUGUGACUAUGACAUCUGACUAGUUGUUAUUUGACAGACACGUUUGUUUUAAUACUCCGCGAUUUUUGCCGGGUAACGGCGAAGUAAUUAUUUCGUGAAUGACGACAGGAUUCCUUUCGCUUGUCAAAAUCGCAUGCAGCCAAAUCGAUUAGCAACGCGUGUGUGUGUCGUUGCUAAUUGAAUCUUCGAUUGUAAACAUGAAUACGACGUUUUGCACGAACGCACCGCCAAUCGAGACGCGGUUAAUCUAUAUAUAUAAAAAUGAAACCCGUUUUCCGUUGUCACGACAUAACAUGAAAACGGCUUGACCGAUUUGGCUAAUUUUGAUCUUGAAUUAUUUGUGGAAGUCCAGAGAAGGUUUAAAAGGUAUAAAAAUAUGAAAAUUCUCGGAAUUAAAUAAAAAUAACAA